ensembl:lncRNA
CGUGGCCUUACGGCGGGCGCACCAAUGGCGGGGAAACUGAGGCCGAAGCGAAAGUGGAGGCAAUACAAKCCUGUGAAGGGGAAGAACAAAACGUAAGUGAAUGUAGAACUGCAUUGAAGAAAAAAUUUGAGAAGUAUUUGCCAAGUCGUGGUCAUUGUCUUGGUGAGAGCCACAUAUGCCACCUCCAAAGGGAAAGCCGUCCUCGCAGCCACGGCAGUGACAAGGAGUAAGGAGACACAACCCUCUGUCCCUGCAGAGUCUGGGCCAUCUGUAUGCAGUGGUGCCCAGCGUGAGAUACCCGUGACGGCCAGACGCUGCCUGCCUGCCUCAGCCUGAAGGUCUGAGCCAGGUGCAUGAACGAGGAUGGUGACCAAACAUGUACCUGCCCUGCCGAAGACGCGGGUCACCGCCCGUGGAGCGUGUCCCACGGACUUCAGCAGCACGUGUCCCCGGAUCCUGAGCCCGUUUCCCGCACGCCGGGCUGCAGCUCGCUGCAGUGUCCCCCGGGUGCCGUGAGCCGGCUGCGAGACGCUCGGGCUGCGAUGCGCGGCCACGCAAUGACAUCUCAAAGUGMGACUGCGUUUGGCCUGGCUGCUGCUCUGUUCCGGUCUCCGCAUUGGUGCGUUAUACCUUUAGACUUUCAACGUUUUAUAUUGCUGCUGGAGUUGCUUAAUGCUGCAGCAAGUACUGUGCAGGCACGUGCGUUGCAUCGGACCUGCCCUGUCUUCUCAUAACCCCGACCGCAGCAGCAGGGCUCGUGUUUCACUGGUACUCGAGCGCUGUAGAAACAAAUCCUGCCGAUCGCAGCUCGGGACGUGCUUAAAUGCAUUUCCUCUGCCCCCCGCCGCCAUCCCCACCCUGCAGCAGCAGGAGUGCGAGGCUUGCACUCGCGUACCAGGAGCAUUCACAGGAUACGGACAGGAGCAGCUUUAACUUGGCAACUGCCUUGUAUUUCUUGCCUGAAGUGAUCCUGGGACAUCUCCUGUUUCCUUGUUAUAAUUAAAGAGAAACUUAAUUUGUUCAACAUCCCUUUGCUGAAGUAGGCCUGAUUUUUGCAUUUGACACGUUGAAAUCCAUUAGACAGCAACAGGCAGCAUCGCUGGUGAUGGGCAGAGGCCAGGCGUCUGUCUUUGAAGUGUCCUCUUUUGUCCAGUCCUGUGUCAUCGCAACAGUGCAUCAGGCAAUCGAUCUCUGUGUACCACCUCUCCCUUUAAUGCUUCUUUUUUUUCCCCUCUCUCUUCCAGGAUGGUAAGAGGGGGAUAAUAAGAGAGGAAAGGGAUAAAGAGACUGGGAGCAUAGAAAACCGGAUCAGAGUUACAGCAACAAUCGUGUGUAUCUCAGCUUUUUUUUCCCCACCUUUUCAUCCAACUCUUUAUGUAUGAGGAAYACGGAUGAGCAAUUGCAGUUUGCUGAGGACAGUAACUUCUCCGACCAGUAUAUAUGGCCAAAAGUGGAUCUGUGAAUAAGCCAUCAAUUAGAGAAAUCCUAAGGCCGCUCUAACCUUCUCCCACGGACCCCGCGUAUCCCUGAGUCUGCAGAAGGACAGAGAUUUGUGUGGCAACUUAGGCCCAUCUCCAGCUGUGGCAAGGUGAUGCUCCCACGUCCGUAGAGGCUGUGGUGUUCGCUGCGGUUACCCCGAGGCAGUCCCCAGCAGCUGUAAGUUGUAUUUGCAUAUGUGAACGUGCUCUGGACCUGCUAGGUCAGGAGUUUUUCUCUGUUGCUUCCAGGCAACAU